rnacentral:rRNA from 1 species
AAGCUCGUAGUGAAUUUCGGGGUUAGUAGGUUGGUCAUGCCUCUGGUAUGUACUGGUCUCACUGAUUCCUCCUUCCUGAUGAACCGUAAUGCCAUUAAUUUGGUGUUGCGGGGAAUUUGGACUGUUACUUUGAAAAAAUUAGAGUGUUUAAAGCAAGCUAACGCUUGAAUACAUUAGCAUGGAAUAAUGAAAUAGGACGUUCGAUCCUAUUUUGUUGGUUUCUAGGAUUGACGUAAUGAUUAAUAGGGAUAGUUGGG